rnacentral:rRNA from 1 species
CGUACAGAGAGUUUGUAUCCUCGGCUACAGGAUAAAACGACUGGCGGCGCACAUAAAGACAAUGCAAGUCGAACGAACUUAACCCUUUUACGCUUACAUUGGGUAGCGGGUUAGUGGCGGACUGGUGAGUAACACGUAAGCAACCUGCCUAUUAGAGGGGAAUAACAGUGAGAAAUCAUUGCUAAUACCGCAUAUGCUCACAGUAUCACAUGAUACAGUGAGGAAAGGAGCAAUCCACUAAUAGAUGGGCUUGCGUCUGAUUAGCUAGUUGGUGGGGUAACGGCCUACCAAGGCGACGAUCAGUAGCCGGACUGAGAGGUUGAACGGCCACAUUGGGACUGAGAUACGGCCCAGACUCCUACGGGAGGCAGCAGUCGGGAAUAUUGCGCAAUGGAGGAAACUCUGACGCAGUGACGCCGCGUAUAGGAAGAAGGUUUUCGGAUUGUAAACUAUUGUCGUUAGGGAAGAUAAAAGACGGUACCUAAGGAGGAAGCUCCGGCUAACUAUGUG